GACGAACGCUGGCGGCGUGCUUAACACAUGCAAGUCGAACGGUGAAGCGCCUUCCUUUUUGGUGGGUGUGGAUGAGUGGCGAACGGGUGAGUAACACGUGAGUAACCUGCCCCCUUCUUCUGGAUAACCGCAUGAAAGUGUGGCUAAUACGGGAUAUUCUGGGUCUGUCGCAUGAUGGGUCUGGGAAAGAUAUUGUUUCGGUGGGGGAUGGGCUCGCGGCCUAUCAGCUUGUUGGUGGGGUGAUGGCCUACCAAGGCGGCGACGGGUAGCCGGCCUGAGAGGGUGGACGGUCACACUGGGACUGAGACACGGCCCAGACUCCUACGGGAGGCAGCAGUGGGGAAUAUUGCACAAUGGGCGCAAGCCUGAUGCAGCGACGCCGCGUGAGGGAUGGAGGCCUUCGGGUUGUGAACCUCUUUCGCCAGUGAAGCAGGCCUGCCUCGUUUGUGGGUGGGUUGACGGUAGCUGGAUAAGAAGCGCCGGCUAACUACGUG
rnacentral:rRNA from 1 species